CUAUCGCCCUCUCACAGAGCGACCUAGGCGAAACAGCCGUCCCGCAGAGCGCCGCCACUGAAGGAGCCUGAAGCAGCGCCGCCCCUUCCCUCCUCUCGCUCGCUUGAGGAGCGCGGCCGCCGCGACCCCUCGGCCGAUCUACGCGGGCGGCGACCCUCGGCACCAUGAUCUUGGAGAAACAGGUCCUGUCGUUCGCAAAGGCGGUCGAGGAGAUCACCGCACUCGAGCGUCUUGGCCCGGACGACAUCGAGGCGUUCCGCGAGCGCCGAAUGCUGUAGAUGCGCCGCGUGGCCGAGCGCCGGCCCAAGUGGUGUGCCCUGGGCACGGGAGUAUGCCGAGGUCCUCGAGAAAGAGUUCUUCUCCGUCGGCAAGGCCGGUGAGCUCCUCGUGACUUCUACCGUGGCAACUGGCUGUGCAAGGUACACCAACACCAUCCCUCAGUUUGCAUCGUGCGAACCCUACACAUGGCCGCUGCGGCCGGCGGCUGGCGGUGAAAGAUCUGGUGGACGCAAGAGACGUUUAUGGUCCCAUCUCCAUGUUUGGUCGCACCACGGUACUCCAGAAUGGCUACUGGCAAGUUUUUGUGGAACGCCUCCCUGCUUCCACUCCCAUCCUCCCCUAAACAAUAAGGGCCUCUGUUGACAGCAUUUCCCUCCCAAAACUGAAGUCCUAUUCAAAUCGGUGCCAAGGUUAAUCUCGAGUCAAGGGAAGCCCCUGAAUUGAUUAAAUAGAAUACUGAAAAAAAAAGAAGUUACCCUUUUAGAAUUUCAACCAUUAUAUCACUGCAUCAUGAUGUUUUGCAAAACACGGUCUAUGGGACCGUAGGAUUUAUAUUCAGCCAUCCAUCUUUGCGUCCUUCAAAUUCUCAACGAUACAUGGACAUUCUAAGUACAAGCAACAUACAACAGUCCAGUGCCUUGACUAGCCGCCGGUACUCAUCGCCACCUUUUUACGUGCGUGGCAGCCUUUCCUCGCUUGCUGGCACCCAACUGUAUUCCUCUUCCCCGCCUUUAGAUCUUUACCUGCUCUGUUUAGUUAACAACUUAAUGUAUGUUUCGACAGGAUUGGGUUGAUUUCUAUGCAUGCGGUUCACUAAGUUAAGAAAUUUUAUCCAUGUUUCAAAUUGAAGUGACAAUUAGUACAAAGUUGGGUCAUCUAUUUUGGAACGGAGGAAGUACGUGUGAGCGGAAUUGCUCUGCAUUUUUGGCACAUACUUUUCUUAAGAUGAUUCUUCGCUAGCAGUUCAAUGUUACCAAAGUGCCACUGACAUGUCACAAAAUAAAAUUGUAUUUUGGUAGUUUAGUUGGUAACAUGAAUCAAGGGCCUCCAUUCAGAAAAUUAUGAAUUGUCGGCCAGUUGUCCUACAGAUGAUUUUUUUAGUCUUUUUAAAACCA